UGGGGAAUUUUGGACAAUGGGCGCAAGCCUGAUCCAGCCAUGCCGCGUGCGGGAAGAAGGCCUUCGGGUUGUAAACCGCUUUUGUCAGGGAAGAAAUCUUCUGAGUUAAUACCUCGGGAGGAUGACGGUACCUGAAGAAUAAGCACCGGCUAACCACGUGCCAGCAGCCGCGGUAAUACGUAGGGUGCAAGCGUUAAUCGGAAUUACUGGGCGUAAAGCGUGCGCAGGCGGUUUUGUAAGACAGAGGUGAAAUCCCCGGGCUCAACCUGGGAACUGCCUUUGUGACUGCAAGGCUUGAGUGCGGCAGAGGGGGAUGGAAUUCCGCGUGUAGCAGUGAAAUGCGUAGAUAUGCGGAGGAACACCGAUGGCGAAGGCAAUCCCCUGGGCCUGCACUGACGCUCAUGCACGAAAGCGUGGGGAGCAAACAGGAUUAGAUACCCUGGUAGUCCACGCCCUAAACGAUGUCAACUGGUUGUUGGGAAGGUUCCUUCUCAGUAACGUAGCUAACGCGUGAAGUUGACCGCCUGGGGAGUACGGCCGCAAGGUUG
rnacentral:rRNA from 1 species